rnacentral:rRNA from 1 species
GCCCUUACUGCUCAGUAACACGUAGUCAACCUGCCCUGGAGUCGAGAAUAAUCUCGGGAAACUGAGGCUAAUGCUCGAUAGAUCAAGAUUCCUGGAAUGGGUUUUGGUCGAAAUGACGCAGCGGCAUCUCGCUGUGUUCGCUCCAGGAUGGGACUGCGGCCGAUCAGGCUGUUGGUGGGGUAAAGGCCCACCAAACCAGUAACCGGUACGGGCUUUGAGAGAAGGAGCCCGGAGAUGGACACUGAGACAAGGGUCCAGGUCCUACGGGGCGCAGCAGGCGCGGAACCUUCGCAAUGCGCGCAAGCGCGACGAGGUUAUUCUGAGUGAUUUCCGCUGAGGAAAUCUUUUCCUAGAUCUAAAAAGUCUGGGGAAUAAGGGGAGGGCAAGUCUGGUGUCAGUCGCCGCGGUAAUACCAGCUCCUCGAGUGGUCAGGGCGUUUAUUGGGCCUAAAGCAUCCGUAGCCUGCUCAGUAGGUCUCCUGUUAAACCCAACGACUCAAUCGUUGGUCUGCAGGAGAUACCGCUGGGCUAGGAGGCGGGAGAGGCGGACGGUACUCCGAGGGUAGGGGUAAAAUCCUUUGAUCCCCGGAAGACCACCAGUGGCGAAGGCGGUCCGCCAGAACGCGCUCGACGGUGAGGGAUGAAAGCUGGGGGAGCGAACCGGAUUAGAUACCCGGGUAGUCCCAGCUGUAAACGAUGCAAGCUAGGUGACACGACGCCUUCGGGGCAUCGUGGUGCCGCAGGGAAGCCGUUAAGCUUGCCGCCUGGGGAGUACGGACGCAAGUCUGAAACUUAAAGGAAUUGGCGGGGGAGCACAAGGGC